rnacentral:rRNA from 1 species
CACGGGGGGGAGCAAGCGUUGUUCGGAUUCAUUGGGCGUAAAGGGCUCGUAGGUGGCUUUGUAAGUCGGAGGUGAAAUCCCACGGCUCAACCGUGGACACGCCUCGAAACUGUGAAGCUUGAGGCUGGGAGAGGAGAUCGGAAUUCCAGGUGUAGCGGUGAAAUGCGUAGAUAUCUGGAGGAACACCGGUGGCGAAGGCGGCAUCCUGGACCGACACUGACGCUGAGGAGCGAAAGCCAGGGGAGCAAACGGG